rnacentral:rRNA from 1 species
UACGUAGGGUGCAAGCGUUAAUCGGAAUUACUGGGCGUAAAGCGUGCGCAGGCGGUUUUGUAAGUCUGUCGUGAAAUCCCCGGGCUCAACCUGGGAAUUGCGAUGGAGACUGCAAGGCUAGAAUCUGGCAGAGGGGGGUAGAAUUCCACGUGUAGCAGUGAAAAUGCGUAGAGAUGUGGAGGAACACCGGAUGGCGAGGGCAGCCCCCUGGGUCAAGAU